GGGUGACUAGUGACAGAGUGAGGAAGGGGGUGACACAGUGACAGAGUGAGGGAGGGGGUGACUAGUGACAGAGUGAAGGAGGUGGUGACUGUCACUAGUCACCCCCUCCCUCUCUCUGUCACUAGUGACACCCUCCCUCACUCUGUCACUAGUGACACCCUCCCUCACUCUGUCACUAGUGACACCCUCCCUCACUCUGUCACUAGUGACACCCUCCCUCACUCUGUCACUAGUCACCCCCUCCCUCUCUCUGUCACUAGUCACACC